rnacentral:rRNA from 1 species
ACGGGGGGAGCAAGCGUUGUUCGGAUUUACUGGGCGUAAAGGGCGCGUAGGCGGCGCAACAAGUCACUUGUGAAAUCCCGGGGCUCAACUCCGGGGCCGCAGGUGAGACUGCGUGGCUAGAGCACGGUAGAGGCGAGUGGAAUUCCCAGUGUAGCGGUGAAAUGCGUAGAUUUUGGGAGGAACACCAGUGGCGAAGGCGGCUCACUGGACCGGUACUGACGCUGAGGCGCGAAAGCGUGGGGAGCAAACAGGA